rnacentral:rRNA from 1 species
AUGUCAGCUAAGGCUUCAGAACGUGAUGGGUCACAGAAAAUUAGUUCCAAUCCUCAAGUAUUUGAAGCACAGUACUGCACACUCGAAUCAUCAUCAGCAAAUGGUGUUUAUCCUACACAGAGUUCGACAUCUUCUCAUAGCAUCUCCCCUAUAAGUGGGAGCCCCCUGUCUCAGAAUGAUAGCCACUCAUACCACACAUAUGAUUCACCCCCAACUGCUUCAUGUGUUACCGAGAUACCGGAUUUCCAGAGUAAACUAAAGGAGCUAGAAAAUGCAAUUCUUGGACCUGAAUUGGACAUAGCCUCUGACAGCCCCGAGAGCUUAUUGCAAGCCAACCAUCCUUUGAAACAAGAUAACUGGAGACAGCUUUUGGGAAUUGACACGGGAGACUUGAAGCAGGUGAUCAUAGCAUGUGGUAAGGCUGUUGCUGCGAAUGAUAUGUAUGCGACAGAACUAUUGAUAUCUGAGCUAGGUCAGCUGGUGUCUGUCUCUGGAGAUCCAAUGCAACGCCUAGGAGCAUACAUGUUGGAAGGGCUUGUGGCCAGGCUCUCUUUCUCUGGAAGUAAGCUGUAUAAAUCCUUGAAGUGCAAAGAACCUACAGGCUCUGAGCUCAUGUCUUACAUGCAUCUCCUCUGUGAGAUCUGCCCAUUCUACAAGUUUGGUUACAUGUCAGCCAAUGGUGCCAUAGCAGAAGCUAUCAAAGGCGAGAACUUCAUUCACAUCAUUGAUUUCCAAAUCGCACAGGGGAGCCAGUGGAUAACUAUCAUUCAGGCUCUUGCAGCGAGGCCCGGGGGUCCACCAUUCCUAAGAAUCACUGGUAUAGAUGACUCAAACUCUGCUUAUGCCCGAGGUGGUGGACUGGAUAUGGUUGGGACAAAAUUGCAUAGUGUCUCUGCUUCGUGUGGCCUGCCCUUUGAGUUCAAUGCUGUUCGUGCUGCUAGCCAUGAGGUUUAUAUUCAGCAUCUGGACAUAAGACCUGGGGAGGCUAUUGUAGUGAAUUUUGCCUAUCAGCUGCACCAUACUCCUGAUGAAAGCGUGAGCGUGGAAAAUCACCGGGACAGGAUUGCAAGAAUGAUCAAGAGCCUGUCCCCUAGGGUGGUGACUCUUGUUGAGCAGGAGUCGAACACAAACACAAGUGCAUUCUUGCCAAGGUACUUGGAGACUCUCGACUACUAUAUGGCAAUGUUUGAGUCAAUAGACGUUGCUCUCCCAAGGGAUGACAAGAGACGGAUUAGCACGGAGCAGCACUGUGUCGCAAGGGAUAUCGUCAAUUUAAUCGCGUGUGAGGGUGCUGAAAGGGUUGAGAGGCAUGAGGUGUUUGGGAAAUGGAAGGCUAGGUUUGCAAUGGCUGGAUUCAGGCCGUACCCGCUGAGUUCGGUGGUGAACAACACCAUCAAAACACUGCUGGAUAGCUACCACAGUUGCUACAGGCUUGAGGAGAGGGACGGAGUCCUUUACCUUGGUUGGAAGAGCAGAGUGUUGGUCGUGUCUUCUGCAUGGUGCUGA